rnacentral:rRNA from 1 species
UACGAAGGGGGCUAGCGUUGUUCGGAAUUACUGGGCGUAAAGCGCACGUAGGCGGAUAUUUAAGUCAGGGGUGAAAUCCCAGAGCUCAACUCUGGAACUGCCUUUGAUACUGGGUAUCUUGAGUAUGGAAGAGGUAAGUGGAAUUGCGAGUGUAGAGGUGAAAUUCGUAGAUAUUCGCAGGAACACCAGUGGCGAAGGCGGCUUACUGGUCCAUAACUGGACG